AAGAUAAGUAAAGCCAUCUUUUUCCCCCCAUCUCUAGCUGCCAGACAGAUGAGCACUUCAUCAUCAAACUUGUAAGGACAGCUGAUUCUCACCCUUCUGCAAGCAAAAUCCUCUUAAUCACAGUGAGGUUAAGCAGAUUUUCUGGGAAGUUCUAAAUACAACAGUCCCCACGGUGGAAAUCUGCGCUGAACAAUCACUCACAUAAAAGCACCUUUCUCCACGAGCACUGCACAAACCAGGGUCCAACUGAACAUGUUGUGAGCAUGAAAUUCAAAGUCCACAGAGAACCUGAGCUGUCAAGAAUCUUUGCCAUGGUUGGAAUCAGAACUCUCUCCUACAAGAUGGAUGGGACCUAGUGAGAAACCCAUGGCAUGAAAACACUUGGAAUAUGCUUCAAGCCACAGGAAACAGGAAAAAUUGAGUAUCACUGCUGAUUUAUAACCCAUGAAAUACAGCUAGUAAUGCAGAUUUACUGACAUGCAACAAAGUUCAGAAGUGCAUUUCAUAGCUGUUCCAUAUUCACAUGUCCCAGAGACAACAUCCCAAUUGGUAAUGUUUCGGAAAUGAGAGCUACAGCUUGAACUGAACCUACAUGUCACUCAUAGCUUACAACAGCAGAAAAAGAGAUGGAGAACAAAGGAAGCUGAUAAUCCCAACAGAGUUCCAUUUUUUAAAUUUAAAUUAAAAUGAACAAAAUUAUUACUGAUGAAACUCAGUGCUGCUACAUCCAAAACCAAAGGAGCUAGGCAAAAAAAAAAAAAAAAAAAAAGAGAAAGUGUUAAAUAAGCACAAUGUAUUCGAGGCCAUCAAGUCUCAUAUUUUAUAUACCAAAAUUUCAAGUGGUAAGAUGAACAUUUCUACCAUGAAAAUAGCAAUAUGCCCCCCAAAACAGACCAAAAAUGCAAAUUUGUUUAUCCGUAUCAUUUUGUCAGGAAAAAAAAAUUUAAAAGGUAGGAUUUAAAAUUAAAAUCCCCACAACAUACCUUUGAACUCAGAGAAGUAUUUUAUGCAGGUGAUAUUAAAUACUUUUUGCCCAGAAGUUUUAUAAUUUAUGCAUUAAACUAUCUGGAAUGUUCUGGUGUGCUAAUCUUAAAUGCACUAUCUCUUACUAAAUGAAAAACUAUGUUUACUGUGAUCACACUGCACCUAUUUCACUCCAUAAACAAGAACACCUCCUACAGGAAAAUCAUUCUGUUGCCAAUAAUGAUAAGACAGCAAUUAUUUAUUUAAAUUGAAUACAAAAAGUAAGUGAAAAAGCUGAAGAAUCAUGCUUCACCAGCCUGAAUAUAAUUUAUCCAGAUUUAACACUUCUUUCACUUCUCUAUAUGAAGAGAUUUAGGGAAGAAAAUAAUAAAAUAUUAUUCACAUGUCUACUUAUGCUAUAAUCUUAGAAGACAUUUCUUAGAAGUACAGCCAAAUAUAUUUGUGUGGACAGAGAGGCCAAACAGUUAAAAAUACAAGAACUUUUUUUUUAUAUAUAUAAUGAAGCAUCAUUUUUCAUUAUAAAGGCCAUACUCUAUAUCCCUAUAUCUAUAUGUAGGAAAACUCAGUUUCCCAUAAAAAAUGCAAGACUGACAAGAAAAGACAAAAGCCUUUUGCUUUGAAAAAGGGUGAGGAGAAAGUAAAAGCACAAUUUAGUUAUGAUUUAUGUUACCUUGCACUUAUGCAGGUUCUUGAAUUCAAGUAUAAAACUGUAAUUUUGUUACUGAGAGUGUUUAGAAGGUGGGGGUUUUUAUUUUUUUAUUUUCUCUCUGCACUAACAGCAGGUAGUACUUCAAAAAAGAGGCCAAAGUUAGUCUCUGUUUACUUUUGCUUUUUCAGAGUUACAUGUUGGUUUUAGGAAUGGUCUUGCUUUAUUCCCUAGAGGUGGAGGAGCAACAGACAAGAAAAGCAGGUAAAAUAGUUUCCUAGACAGAAGUUUGACAACAUUUUUGUAAUAUUAGCAAAGAAACAGAAAAAUCAGCAUGCAAUAUGUAAGAUUAAUCACACAAAGUCUCAUCAUGAGCCUCCCACAGCUGAAAUUUGUUCACAUGAAAAAUUCAAAUGAUAUUUAUGAAUAAUCUCAGCUUGAAUAAAUUUUUUUACAGAAGAAACCCAACUGCAUAGAACAAAUUAUAAACUGUUUGUACUGCUCUUUCUCAAAAGGCAAGGAUAUUUUUUCCAAGUGGAAAGAAAACAAAAAUACAGAUUUUUGGGAAAUAUAAAGAAAAAGAAAAGUUAAAAGUAUAAGAAACUUAGAAGAGAAAAAGUGGGGACAAAAGGAUGUCAGGUUUACAAGAGUAGGCAACAAAGAUGACAUUAAGUGACAAGAAAGAGCUAACGAAGAAUGCUGCUGCAAAAAGAAAAGGGAAAAGAACAAUCAUAAAAAAAUCCAAUGCAAUAGUGGGUAUGAUUCAGAAAAUAUUAUAGACAAAGGAGAGGAGGAAAGAAAGCUGUUAUUGAAUCAAAGAAAGAAUGGAAGCUGGGCAGAAAGGUGGUAAUCUGUACUAGAAAUAUUCCCAACCACUUGGAAGUGUGGAGAAGAAGCAGACAGAUAUAAUGGAGGCCAGAGAGUGAGAGAAGCAAAUUUCUGCAGCUUUCCAAAAGCUGGAAGGUAACCCCUAAUUAAAUCAGAGGGCUGUGACAGAAUAUAGAAGCAAUACAAUCGUGUUCUUUGCAGUCAAAUUCCACAUGCAGAGCAUAACAAUUUAUAUAAGACUGACAAUUUUGCAACAUUCAAGAUAGGACAUUUUGGACAUGAGCUUCUGUUUUUCAAGAUUAUCUAACACAGUGUUCUGAGGCAUAAAUUAAAAUUCACUCACUAUCUUUCAGAAAUAACCACUCUCUGACUAAUGCAACACCAAGCUGAAAUUAAAACACCUCAAACAAAAUACCUCAUCAGAAUAUUCUCUCUCUGAUGUCUUUUCCUUGUGAAGAGUUCAGAAAUGUGCAUCUGACCUCUAAUCACCACAUGGAAAACUGAUCGAACUUGCUCGAUAAAUGUAAUCGUGGCUUUACAACAGCUUAAGUGCUGAUUCUGCUCUGCCCCACUCCUACCUUCCCUUCUGCUCCCUGCAUCAGCAUUAAAGUGGCAAUCUAGGGAGCUGAUACAGGGGAAAAUCCACCUGCACAUCAGCCUGGCAAAACCACACCAAAACCAGAGCAAGGACAAAAAAAAAACCAAAACCAAAACUAAAAAAAUCAGCUACCCAAACAAAAAAACCCACAAACCAAAAACAACCAACCAACCAAAACCAACAAAAAACCACCUCCAGCCCCUAAUAAAGACACAGGAGUGUGAUGAUCAACAAUCAUCAAGUGCUAAUUCCAGUUCCUAGGGGACUAGGGAAGACCCAAGGAACCCAUCAAUAAUGGGUCCAGUCCUGUUCAACACGCGUUAAUGAUCUGGAUGGUGGGGCUGAGUGCACCCUCAGGAAGCUUGCUGAUGACAUGGAGCUGGGAGGAAUGGUUAAUAUGCCAGGGGGUCAUCCUGCUAUUCCAUGGCACCUUGACAGGUUGGAGAAAUGGGUUGACAGGAACAGCAUGAAGGGGAAGGACAAAGUUCUGCACCUUACGAGGAGCAACAUACUGGGAACUUUUACUUAGCAAAAUUGGAUUUGUCUGCCCAUGAGCACAUCAUCAGUUCAUCAUGACCCAAAUAUAAGCCCUUUUGGUAAAAAGACAUCGAGAUCUACAGAAUCACCUUCUAGACUCUUCCACAAUGGUCUCACUCCAUACACUGCAGCAAAGAGUUUAACAUCCAGCACUGCUGGUUUCCUGCAUAAUUUACAGAGCGACCUCAUUCUGAAUCCCAGAAGACCAUCCCGUGCCUGGCACAACCCAUCUGACCAUGCGAGUGAAAUUGUCCAUCUCAGCAACAGCAUCGGCCAGCACAGCACAAACAACAGGAAAACAGCACCAGCUUGCAGGGAAUUUAAGGUGAAAUCAGGAACUUAGUUACUACACUUUACAGCAUCUCAGGUCACAAAGUUCCUUCUUUAAAUUAUGAUGAGAGAACUCUGAUCUCAACAGAGCAUGAGAAAUCAGAGUCUGUGCUGAAUACCUGUGCAAGGUCUUUUGUUCUUACAUAAAAGCACUGGCACAGACACUUUCUUCUGUGAUUCCUCAGACUCAAUCAACAGCAUUUGCUAUUCCACAAGUCUGUACCCUGAGGGCCCCAUCUCCUUCAUCAGCAGGGAAAGUAUUCUCAACUCAUAGUAGGAACACAAUUUCUAUUAACUAUUUCCAGGCUCUACUUGGCAGCCCUUUAUUUAAACAGCGUUAAUUCAAUCGUGACAGCAAUUCUGGGGUGACUGCACAUGUGUGAUCCAAGUAAGGAAGAAUGAAAUGAGGUUGCAUUUAACAACUUCUCAUGGCUCUAAAGAACAGCACAAGCAAGCAUGUCCAACUGUUCUGGUUAAGACAAUUUGGUCUUUAACAGAUUUCUGUGGUCAUCUGCAUGUAUAGGAUAAUAGAUGUCAUAAAGGGUUUUUUU